GCCUCACUCUGUUGCCCAGGCUGGAGCGCAGUGGCGCAAACUCAGCUCACUGAAACCUCCGCCUUCCAAGUUCAAGCAAUUCUCAUGCCUCAGCCUCCCGAGUAGGAUUACAGCUUGGAGAAUUUUAGAAACAGCCAAUGUGCAACUCCAACAGGAAGAAACUGCUAAGAGGUCGGCAUGGGGAAAAAAGAUGUCCCCAGGGUGGGGCCACAGCCAAGAACAGAAAAUCAGAUAUAAGAUCAAACCUUUCCCAUCCCUCUCUAUCACCACCGCCACCACCCAAAACAUUGGUUAAGGUUAUCUCCUCUGGAAAUUGGGGGCCUGCCUGAGUUGAGAACCUCCUGAAGUCAACAGUCAAGAAACCAAUAUGGAUAUAACUAUAACUGUGUAUUAGGGAAAAAGAUCCCAGAGAUAUCCUCCGUGCUUAUUCCUGUAUCUCAGUCCAAUCAGGUCCUUUCACAACCCUCGUGUUUUUGCAUAUGCCCUUCCUUUUACCUAGAAUGUUCCUCCUCUGCUUCUUAUAUGGAAAAUCUCAUUCUUCAGGACCCAGCUGAAAUAUGAUGCCUUUCUCAAGUACUCCAGUGAGUUACCUACUUCUUCGCCUCCAUAAUACUUUAUCUGAGCUUUAAAAAAAAAAAUCUUGCUGGGCGCAGUG
rnacentral:lncRNA from 1 species